rnacentral:rRNA from 1 species
CAGCCGCCGCGGGAAUACGGAGGGAGCUAGCGUUGUUCGGAAUUACUGGGCGUAAAGCGCACGUAGGCGGCUUUGUAAGUCAGAGGUGAAAGCCUGGAGCUCAACUCCAGAACUGCCUUUGAGACUGCAUCGCUUGAAUCCAGGAGAGGUGAGUGGAAUUCCGAGUGUAGAGGUGAAAUUCGUAGAUAUUCGGAAGAACACCAGUGGCGAAGGCGGCUCACUGGACUGGUAUUGACGCUGAGGUGCGAAAGCGUGGGGAGCAAACAGGAUUAGAGACCCCUGUAGUCCCUGUCUCUUAUAC